GGAAGUUAAUUGACUCCAACAGGAAGUCAUCUCACAAAUAUGCCCACUAACUUCAAGUCACCAUCCUACCUUUUAGGUUGCUAUCCACCAGCACCAGAGGAAGUUCCCAUAGGAAGGAUUGUUGCAGGGGAAGGGAAAUAUCAAAAACCAUUAAAAGCUCAACUGAUAACAAUUAAAUUUUUUUCCUAAAAGAUAACCUUACAGACAAAAGGCUUAACCAUCAACAAUCAUAACAUAGGUACUUCACUAUCAUACCAUAAGUAUUUCACUUUCCA
rnacentral:lncRNA from 1 species